CUCUGUUUUUUCACUUUGCCACGUCGUCCGUUUUAGUUCAGUCCCGAUCCUCCCUGAUAUGUCCAGAGUUUUUCCAGCUUGGUUCUCCUUAUUCUACCUGGAAAUAACUAGGACGAUUUCAAACUGGAACUGAUUCCUUCACGCCCUUUGGUCACAACACGAGCGGACUCUAGCUCCUUCACCACAACCAUGAUUCAGAGGCUGGAUAUUGUUGUGCCACAGUUCUCCCAUGACUGGUUACAUAUCCCACAUGUACCUGACGUGCAGGGUGUCGUGUCGGUGUGUAAAGUGAUACUGCCACCACCUCGGGUUUCUGGAAGUAUUCGUGGCUGUUUGCAGAGUCAACAAACAAGAUCAUCGGAUUCUGGCCCUCGUCCAACAGGCAGACUGUCAUGAACAAAACUUUCUGGGAAGAGACGUAACAGGAUCACAGAUGCCAAUUCAGUAUCGGACAAAGAGAAACAAGUGUUUGGACACUGGAAAAGAGUGUGACAAUCAGUGAGUUUCUAACUUGGUGUUGAUCUGACUGUCAGUAAUGCAAGAAACAAAAAAUUCUAGGAUUUCGACCAUAAAGUUGUGAUUGAUUAAAGAAAAAAAUUCAGAAUUUCACAAAAUUGAUUGAUUGUCACAGUUCAUUCAUUCCCUAACCACCUCAUCAUUAUUACU